GAUGAACGCUGGCGGCGUGCUUAACACAUGCAAGUCGAACGAUGAAGCCCAGCUUGCUGGGUGGAUUAGUGGCGAACGGGUGAGUAACACGUGAGUAACCUGCCCUUAACUCUGGGAUAAGCCUGGGAAACUGGGUCUAAUACCGGAUAGGAGCGUCCACCGCAUGGUGGGUGUUGGAAAGAUUUAUCGGUUUUGGAUGGACUCGCGGCCUAUCAGCUUGUUGGUGAGGUAAUGGCUCACCAAGGCGACGACGGGUAGCCGGCCUGAGAGGGUGACCGGCCACACUGGGACUGAGACACAGCCCAGACUCCUACGGGAGGCAGCAGUGGGGAAUAUUGCACAAUGGGCGCAAGCCUGAUGCAGCGACGCCGCGUGAGGGAUGACGGCCUUCGGGUUGUAAACCUCUUUCAGUAGGGAAGAAGCGAAAGUGACGGUACCUGCAGAAGAAGCACCGGCUAACUACGUG
rnacentral:rRNA from 1 species